GCUUGUUGCUGUGUUUUAGGAGCAUUAGGGAAAAUACAGAUAGUCUGGCAUUUUAUUACUCAUAUUUCUCUGCUCUUAAUGACUGAAUGGAGCACGACUUGCUAAUGAACUAGGCAGAAAUGAAUGCAUUUGUGGCACUAAUUGAAAUAAACCCAAGGUCUGGCUUUUCAAAAGGAGCAAAACCUCUAGCACUCUCAAAAAAAAAAAAAAAAAAAAAAAAAAANNNNNNNNNNCCUCUUUUCUGCCUUUAACCCCUGCCUGCUGUCUUUCACUACAGCUGCGUUCUGGUGUAACAGAGCAAGGCACCCUCUGCUUGCAGGAACCAGGGAUUCGUGGUGCAGGAUGCUGGGGAAAGGGCUUGGUGUUGCUCCCUUCCUCGUCUAUAAAAGCAGCUCAUUAGGGGCAGUAGGGUUCCCAGGUAGCAGAGGGUGAUGUGGAGAUGGCUUGGGAGCACGUGGAUGGAGCUCUGUCCUUCAUCAAGAGCAUCUCCACUGCUCCUCCCUUCAAGACUAUGGCUUGAAUAAGUACAAAGAACAAACAAAAUCCACAAGGAGUUGGCUUGACUGGGAAGUUCCUUAUAGGCAUUGUGGGGGGAUUUAUAAGAAAAAAAAAAAGGGCAGACCCUGGAAACAAUCUCCCCAAGGAUCUGCUGAGAACAAAUACAGAACAAGGAGCCAUGAAAAUAGGUUCCUGGGUAGUAGGUA
rnacentral:lncRNA from 1 species